CCCCUAGAUGUUCUGGGCCGCACGCGCGCUACACUGAACAGUUCAACAAGUCUUAACCUUGGCCGAUAGGUCUGGGUAAUCUUUGAACGCUGUUCGUGAUUGGGAUAGACCUUUGCAAUUAUGGGUCUUCAACGAGGAAUUCCUAGUAAACGCAAGUCAUCAGCUUGCAUUGAUUACGUCCCUGCCCUUUGUACACACCGCCCGUCGCACCUACCGAUUGAAUGGUCCGGUGAAAUCUCGGGACGGCGGCUUGGUCGCUUGCGUGCGACUGCUGAAACUUGAUUAAACCAUAUCAUUUAGAGGAAGGUGAAGUCGUAACA
rnacentral:rRNA from 1 species